AUAUAUAUACAAUAUGAAAUGUUAGAUGAAAAGUUCCAUGGAACCUGUUUGGCAACAAAAGGCUUGUUUUUGUUAUUUGAAGCUUGUAAUACCAUUAACUUAAUGUCAGGUCAACUGACAGGCUUAUAAAUGAGAAAAAAAAAUAUGAUCAGAUCUCGUGCUCCAAGAUCAUAACAGUAAUGAAAAAAAGGAACCACACAUGCCAGAUGCAUGUCGUAUAAUGUAGUACUUGUUGAAGGAGCUCGUAUUGCACAUACUACAGCACUGCAUAUCAUUUUGAUGGAAUCCAAACAUGGUGAGAUUGACCAAAUAAUUAAUUGCUUUGUCUUAAUUAAAGCAGUGAAUUUGUAGGCUGCCUAAGGCGAGCAUGCUUACGCAACGGCUGGUAACUAUUGUGCAUAGCGACCUGCUCCAUGUUUUCGAUGAGGAACUGGAUUGUCUGUGCAACAGCCAUGGAUCUGCGGCACCAGAAUCAUUCAGAAGAGUCUCCACUUGCAUCAGUCUUUCUCCCUGUAGACAGCAAGUUGUUCCUUAUAGUAUUUGGAUGAAUUGAAUAUUGAACAACUUUAAAUAGUGCAUUCUUGAAUUGAAUACAAAUUGAAUAGCAGAAUAUUUGAUUUGUAUUCAAAAUUUAGAACAUUUUCACACCCCUAACUUGUCCUAUUAUUUCCUGUUUUUCUUCAAUUGUACAAUGGGCUGGCAAAUGUCAGAAUACAUCAUUACAUAUUUAGGUUGUUUGCCUGAGCUCAUAUAACAUUUUUUUUAUGUAGUGGCCUUCCUUGCAGAAAAGAUAGUCACAAAAGUUUACUGUAUACCAUUGAUAUGUUACCAGUUGACACGAUUUUCUGGUUUAUGUAUUCAUGAUAGAGCCUAUUGGUAUUACCAUAUUUACUUGAGAAUAGGUCAAACACGAAUGUAGGUCGACCCAUACCUUUUUAGACUAAUGAAAAACUUUGAACAUGACACACCUUUAUUUACCAUAAGCUCGGCUACUACAUUUUGCUAGUUGAAGCCACAAACGGCAUCCUUGUUGAAACUGCCAGAGAAGUCAUCCUCGUUGGAUGCCACGCAGGUGUUCUCGGCACCCUGAACGAUGUCGUCCUUGGUGCCGUUGAGCGUGUUGGAUAUACAGGAUUUCUUAAAGUCAGUCUGGAUAAUCUCCAGACUGGCUUUACGAUGCAUGCAACGGACAAACUCUGUUAGCUCGGUACUUUUACUAGCUUUGUUUACGAAUAUAGGUCGCUAGCCUAAUUUGGGUAACAUUUUCGAAAAGGAAAGGUCUACUACCUAUAUUCGAGUAACUAUGGUACCUCUGUUAAGUGAUGCCUACAUUUUAUUGGUCCACAUAACCAAUGAACGAUGUGUGAUCAACAAAAGACGGGUGUUCCAACAUGGCAUGACUUUCCAACUAGUAUGUUCAACUUUUUGUCAAAUACUGAACAAAUGAUGCAUUUUAUGACUGGCAGGAGACACCAACAUAUGUAUGAGUGUGCUGAGCAUCUGUGCUCGCACAUAAGGGGCAUGUUCAGAGCAGGCCUUCGGCCCUUGUGGAUGCUUUUCCACAGUACUUCUCAUGCCCGAGUCAGGUGAUAGCACUGGUGUGCACUCUUCCAUGGCUGAGGCAGCAGCCAGAGCAGCCAAAGCAUUGCAAAUGUAUAACAGUAACCAAAAUUUCAUGUGCCAUGCAAUGUCAUGCUUGAUCUUUCAUACGCGUUUCAUCUGUGCCAUGUCACAAAUAUGUGCCAAUGCACCAUGACACCGUCACUGGCUGUAUGCUAGACAGCCAAAAGCAAUUGAACUACGAGAAAGUGCACACAAGCUCGUCUAAUGGCAGCUUGUCAGAAGAGGUGUGCUAGUUUGUUUCCCACAGGCCAGCAACCAAUAGUGAGAGCUAAAUCUGCAAGUUAUACCAUGCACUUGCUUUAAGUGGAAUAAAAAAUUAUCAAGUUACCAUAACGCUAUCAACCGAAUUGGUUACGUGUGACUGCCAGCAAUGCAUUAGGCCAUGUGUGACUUCUGAAAUGUACACAUUGAAGAACUUCCAAGUAGCUAUCACACUGAAGGUCAGGAAGGAACAGAAGUGCCAGUAUGCACUUUCUGGCUGCAGGUGGUGCAAGAUGCAGUAAUAGCUUACUUUGCAACAAUUCUUUGCAUCGGAGCAUCCAGAUCUGGAGACACUUUUGGCCUAAGUCAAAGGUAGAGUGACAAGUGAUUGUAAGGUUUUUGAGCAGUUAGAACUCCAGGAACAGAUGGUAGUCCAUGACAUCCCCAAGUGCUCAGCCAUGUCUCCACCAGUGUACAUACGCACAAAGAAUGGAACCACCGAUGAUGCAUUUGCAGAGUUUCUCGUGAUAAAUAUAAUGGCCCAUCUUGUGGGCUGGAAAGCAUGGCAGAUGUCAUGGCAGAAAUAUGAGACGAAACCUACAAAAGCAACAAUCAUGGCUAAAAGUGAGAAUCGUUUCUGGCAGCUGUUUUUACACAAUUUCGGAUCACAUAGUUUCUAUAGAUAUGUUUUUGUUGCUUUUUUAAGGCAACAUACCAGUAAUGAAUAUUUUGUUGUAAUAAUUCAUUAUUGAAAGGUAACUGGUCGAGGCCAAAUUGGUGAAUCUUUCUCAUCUACUUUAUUUUGCUUGGAUGAGUACAUCACGUAUAAAUGAAAUGAACUCAUUUGUCUGGAAAUGUCCCAAAGUUGCGUACUCUUUCUGGGACACUGACAUAAAACGAGCAUAGCUUGUUCAAAAUCCAAGCUUCAUGAAAGCUCAUUUCAUUGGGAUACGAAAAGCUUGGGACAGAUGAGCUGUGGUUUUCAUAGCAGUAUGCCUGUGCUCAAAUUGAAAUCAAUUGUAUAACUUUAUGGGAGCCCUGCAACACUUUUUAGAAAUGAUGUUGCAUGUGUCUCACGAAAAAGGGCAUCACUUCAUGAACAUUUUCCAACAAAAAGCUUUUUAAUACACCUAUUAUGAGCAGAAUUAUUGGCAAUAAAAUUUUGUCCCCCGCAUGCUUUUGGGUGGCUUUCGUCUCCUUUGGCACUCCAACUAUGCUGGAGGCUGUGCUGCUCUGAUAUGAAGUGACUGAAAGCUCCGCUUAUCGUGAAGCAGUGCUUUACUAUCCACAUGGCCUCCGAGGUUUCGGCAGCAUGCUGGAGGGUUCAUGCUGUGCUGCUGGAUUGUGGAGGCCAUGGUCAGGCAAUGCAGUGGUACUGUUUCCUAUGGCUGCCUUACCAGUGAUGAGAUUUCCUUGUUUAUUUUGGCAGACUUUGCGGCAGAUGUCAGAAUGUUAUGGCUUGUUUUUAAUUAAAGCAAACAGUUACGCUUGCUUAUCGUGAUGGUCAACAGAACAAUGACCUAUUUAUGCCUCUUUUUUUUUUUUUUUGUCGCUCCAUGAACAAAAACAGGGGCCAGUGAAGUGCUGCAACAUUGGAAAUGACAUCUCUAUGCAGAGAUGAUUCCAUAGUGCUUGCACAAAAUUCACAGGUACACUCAAAAGCUCUGAAGCUUGAAAAAGCUAACUUUAAUGAUGACAGCAUUGUUUGAACUGGAGGAGUAAGCAUAACUUGAGCAGACAACCGUCACACAACUGAAAAUGCAAAAGUGAAGUGCUCUAUUGUGCUUUUUGAGACAAUAAACAUUCAUAAUUAUUGUUUAGCAAAGUCACGAUGCAAUAUGGUGUUGCUCAGGGCAUUUUUGCCUUUCCCAAAAGCAGUUAUUAGUCGUAACAUCUAAAAUCUUGCCAAUAGUCAUGCAUUGGGCUUUUUUUACUGUCAUGUGAAACACAAAGUGGUUGGGAUUUCAGAAGGUUGAAGGACAGUGCAAGUGGUUUUUUGAGAAAAACUGUAGGCUCCAUGCUGCCCAUACAAAAUUGACAAAAAAUUUAACCCCUUCAUGACAGCAUUGUCUAACAACUGGGCAGGUUUAUCUACCGUGAUCAAUAAGUGUUGCAGGGCCCCUUUAACUGUAUAGAUUUGCAACUUUAAUGACAUUCAAGUAUACUGACUUUGUUCUUCUCCAUUUUGAGCUUAAGGGCCACACUCAAGAAAAUGAUCACUGGGUGAUUAGCAUCUUUGUUUGCUACAAUGAUUGCUUUUGAUAACAUUUGUUGAAUCACAAUGGUGCACCUAUUAUCAGAUCUGAACAGCAUCCGAACACAAAACAUAGGAGAACUGAAAAAUGACUUGUGGUGUGAACUGUAAUUGGAGCCCAACUAAACUUUCUAGUCAUUUAAAGUAAUUUAUUAUGUGUAAAACUGCUUUAUGUCUCAUUUUAUUGUUCCCCAAUUUCACUUUUAUUUCCACAUUCAUGACCUGCAUAUAGGUUUGCAAUUCAUCAGAUACUAGGCAUUGCUGCUGUUAUUUACAUAAGGUAGCAAAUCUUUUUACUUGUGCUUAUUCGGUAAAAUAUGUAGUGAAGUUUACUUAGGCCAUUUUUGUAAACAUAGUAGCAGAGACAUCAACAGAACUAGCAGCUGCUGAAAGCCUUGUAACAGCCGAGUGAAUAAUAACAUGUACCGGUCCUCUUAACCUCCUAAACAUUAUACCAUUUACAAACCCUGUGUUUAAGGUGGUGUGCAAUUUUUUACUUUCUAUAUGUUUUCUCAUAAAGGCACUUCCUUCUCCAACUCAUUUUGCAUUGUGUCACAGAGACUUAUAUUUCUUCAAUUUAGUGCCACGAGUGUGUUCAUAUUAGGUCUAUGGAGGGGUUUCUGUGCAAACACAGUUAGUGACUCCCUUGAACAAUUCUGUGUAGUGAACUUUUUUUAAUGAGCUG
rnacentral:lncRNA from 1 species